rnacentral:rRNA from 1 species
UACGUAGGGGGCUAGCGUUGUUCGGAAUUACUGGGCGUAAAGGGCGUGUAGGCGGCCCUUUAAGACAGUUGUGAAAUUCCUGGGCUCAACCCAGGACGUGCGCCUGUGACUGGCGGGCUUGAGUCCGGGAGAGGAUGGUGGAACUCCCAGUGUAGAGGUGAAAUUCGUAGAUAUUGGGAAGAACACCCGUGGCGAAGGCGGCCAUCUGGACCGGUACUGACGCUAAGGCGCGACAGCGUGGGGAGCAAACAGG